UGUCCAAAUAAAUUGUUUCUUAAUCAUAAAGUUUUGUGUAAUUUUUAAAUAUAGUAAUUUAACUUAAAAAUUUUACAUUAAAACAUAUAAUCAAUUUUAAAAAAAUAUAAACCUCAAAAACCUAAUAAUAUCACGUAAAUUAAAACAAGUGAGCAGAUAUAAAAUUUGGCCAGGCAGUAUAACUGGUAAAAGAAGAAAUAAAAA
rnacentral:lncRNA from 1 species